CCAUGAUUGGCGAAUAUAUAUUAUGGCCACUGGGCCACAACAUAUAAACAAACAGGGCCGUAGCUAGACACGAUAAUUGGGGUGUGUAUAUUCAUAUAUUCAUGUUUACAUACCGUAAAAAUAAUCGAUUUCAAAAGAAAUCCGUCUGGCAGAACACGAAUAUAUGAAUAUACACUCCCCCCCCCCCAAUUAUCAUUCUGGCCCUGUAAACAAAUUUAAUAUUUUAUUAAUAUUAAUGUCAAUGCGUCAAUUGUAUAUAAAGAAAAUCAUUACAAGUACUAAAGCAUCUUGUUUUUAUUAAAUAAAAACAUGCAAGAUGCUUACUUUCUUCCAACUGUUCAUCAAUUCGCACUGGGCGUGGGGAAAAGAUUUACUGAUGAUAAAAUCUGUUCUCUCCUGUUCUGGAAUGUUUUUCAUAUAGUUCUGUAUGGAGACGACCGCUGAUACCACAACAUGAAGUUAUGAACGACUCCAAGUAUUUGCAAAUUCAUCCUAUAUGAUUU